UUAGGUCUGAACCCUGAGGCUGGAGUUGUAUUUCCCAGGGAUUCACCACAUGACUCUGUUGCAUCUCAUCCCCAUCUUUUAUCCUAUCCCUACAUCUGCUGUCCAAAUAGGACCCUCCACAAGUCCUGUGUGAUGAAGAGUGGGUGAGUGGAUGUCUCCAAGAAAAGUGGGCCAUACUAGCUUUCAGAGAAAGUGUGAUCAAUCGAAGGUCUUAAAAGGGAUCUUGGAGAGGAGGUAGCUGACAUGUUCUGAAAAGAAACUACCUUUUAUGAGUAAGUUCUGGACUUACAUCCACGGAUAUUAGCAGGCAAAUUUUGUGAUGAGCAUACCUGGGAAGGGGUAGCGGUGCUGGCACAGAAGAAGGAACUGGAGGAAGAGCUGCCUUUGCCCUUCUUCCUAGUAGUCUGGUUCAUCUUGAGCUUCCUCUGCUGCUCUGUGUUAGAUCCACAGUCCCUGCCUGUACUGCUGACAAGUUCUGGGAGUGACUCUUCAGAAGGCAUCCUCAGAAGGCUCAGUGGGUGCAGCUGCCUCUAUAGAUAAGGAGACAGCCAAGCCAGAAAAUAUUGUCAUCUCUGUAGAUAAAGGUGGGUCUCUAUUUGGCCCUAAUCUGAUAGACUUUGAAAUGGAGAGUGGAGGAGGGAGAGGGGGGAGUCACCACCGCAGUACCUCUGGCUUGUAGCUAAUAAGAAUACAUCUGAAAUUAAUGUAACUGAAACAACAGGCAUGGCCAGUUCUGCCACCCACCCCUACUCCCUGGGGGAGAGAAGGAUGGGGAGUAAACAUUCAGGACACCUCUCCAAUGAUUCCUCUUUAUGAGGCAAAACUGUGUCCCUCAUCAGAGGCACCUGUACCAGUAGUUCCAGUAAUGUUACACCCUCCUGUGCUAUAUCCCUCAGCAGCAGCACCUGUAUCAGCAUUCCCAGCAAUCUUAUGCCCUCCUGUGAGAAGUGAUCCCCAACAGAGAACCUGGAACCUUACUCUAAGGAAGUGCUGAAAAAUAUAGGAAGGCGGUUCAUGAAAAUGGGUUAAGCUCUCCUGUUGAGGAGGAGAUGUUUGAAUCCACGGCCACUACUCUGAAUACCCCACAGGAUUGGAAGACUAUGAGAUCUAAAUUAUUGGAGGGUGAAUUUCUACAGUCGAAGGUGGAAUUUUAUGAUCUGGCUGAGAUUCUCAGACAGGGUAACUUAGGUACACAAGAGGCCAUCCCACCUGAAGCUUUGCAAGGAGAGGAUAAUUAGAGCUCUCCUGCUGCUCAAAUGUAGGGACCACCAAACUACUUUGAUUAGGUCCACCUUUGUGCCAUGCAUGCAGUCAGGAAAGUUACUGAAGAUGCUAAGGUCCUGCUCAGAGGCCCGAAGCAAAAGCUCAAUGAAUAUUUUGCAGAUUUUACAUAUUGAGUUCAAGAGACUGUUGACUGUUGGGUAAGUCAUCAUGUGGCCACUGAAACUUUGGGUAAGGAGCUUAUUUGGGAGGGAGCUACUACCAAGGCCUGUAAGGCUAUUUCUCUUGUCCACAGUGGAGAAAUAGAGGACUCAAUCAACUCAACCUGAGACAAAUGGAAUAGUUAUGGAAAUCCAGAAAGUCUACCAGCUGCUUUGACCAAGCACCUAAAGAAAACAAGUACAGAAGACAUACGAAAUCCCCAUUUUCACACAUGAGUACCUUGACUUUAAAAGAGCUGAGUUAGAAUACU
rnacentral:lncRNA from 1 species